AUUCCAUGAUAUGGGCACUUUCGUGGCAUAUUUUUAAACCAAUUCCAGGCUUCAUCAAAGUUCUCUGAGUCACCUUGACAGAAAAAAGAUGUGUCAUGCUUGAGCUU
rnacentral:snoRNA from 1 species